rnacentral:sRNA from 1 species
AACGUUAAAAAGGCUGGAGUCUUCCCA